CCUGUUAAUUUAUGUGCAUAUGGCUUGUUAGUUACUGAAACCAGCAACAAGUGUCUGAGAUGCUAUAUCUUACUUUACUGUGAGCAUAAAUGUCAAGAACAAUGGCAAGCUUGUAAAUGAGUCUAAUUCCAUUUAAGUCCUAUGGUACAUUGAAGAUUCAUUACUGAUUCUUUGUGCAUGCAUGUAUUAUUCUACAGUUUCCAACAGAGCCAUUUUCAUGAUUGAGGAAGUACCAGUUAUGCACCACGGUUUUACGGUCCAACUUAUCUCCGAAGUUGUUAAAUGUUUCUUCCCUGCAAACAUGGAAUGGUGUCUGUUAAGGGUUAAGAAUUCUAUCGACCCUGUGAAAUUUUCAACUAAUAGGUAUACCAGUUAAUGACUUCGUAUCCAUGUGAUAUUGCUAUCUUUUGGGCUCUCAACACAAAAUAUCUGUAUGCAUCCGACACAUUCAUGUGGUUAUUAUUCAACCUGUGUGCCAUGAAAAAGGAUGAUCAUUAGAUUAACUGGCUGAUACAAAAAUAUAUGACUGAUUUGCUUUUGCAUUGAUAACAUGGUUAUGGAAGCACAUCAGGCAAAGUUAUCGAUUUUGAGUUCUCUUAUGUUGAUAAGAAUAUACCAUUCCUUAAUGUGUGGUGUUGCAGUCCAGCAGCCUGAAAUUCAAAGGAAAUGAUAAAAUGGAGUUAAUCUAUAGGUUCACUGUUCAGUAAUACUAUGACAACUGUAAAAGCAAUGCUUCGACUUACUUGUAUUGACUUCAUCACCUCCUAAGUGGACAAAUUUGAAUUUGAAAACCUUGCUAAAAUCUGAAAGAAAACAGAGUUAAGAAUCCAUUUAGACUGUCGACUAAUAUUUGCCAAUAGCUACUGAAUCUAGGUAAUGUAACCACUAUGUAUUAUGUGCAUUGGUCACUGGUUUCUUUUGGAACACACUCUCGGGAUAAAUGGUCUUUUGAAUAAACAAAUGAAGAACCUAACUCCACUGUUGCCAACAAAACUAGUAUGAUUCAUCACCUGAAAGAAUACCAUCAAUAACUUUGAAGGUAAAGUUGUUACUGACAUCAAGCGGUUCUCUGCAGCUAUCUGAUGGCCACAAUGAUGGGUAGCCAACACCCCUGAAAAAGUGCAACAUCUACAACUUUCAGUCAUGCUUAUUGCUACUAUAUAAAUUAGGUUGCACAUUUGAACUCCAAUAAGGUAUCUGGACUCUACCCUCACUGCAUAAAAUGUGCCUUUUUGCUACAGAAGACAUAACGGAAUUCUGGACUAUAUGCAAGGCAAGGUUGGUUCCUGAGCUUUGCAGUUACAAAAUUGAUAAUUGUUUGCGGGACAUUAGGAAAUUAUGCCAUUAGCCGGAACAUAUGAACUCUAGCAGAGAAAUGGGAUGAAAACUUAAGCCAGCAUUUUCACACCUGCUGUGUUUUCUAAACACUAAUGUGACAUAUUUUAGUUGGUCCGAUGUGUUCUAGCAAACAGUCAUGAUUUUAGAAUGUACAUGAGCAAAUUAUCGAUUUACAGUAUGAUCCAUCAAAUGCCAACCAAUUGAAGCGCCUGGGAGUCGUCAAUCUUGCCUAUUUUCAAUAUACAUAACUGAACAGAAUGGAAUGUCUUACCAUGAACGAGCAUGGCCAGGAACAUCAAUCUCAGCCAAGACAUUUACACCUCGUUUUUCAGCAUACCUGCAAAGUUAUGGAUUGGCUACAUUAUUUCUAGUGUCAUAGCUUCAUAACUGCGUAUCUAAGUUAGUAGAACAUGGAAUCUAUUAUCUAUGCCAUCUCUUCAUGCUGCAGUGUUUACACUAUAAGUGCAGAUGUGAAUUACGAUCAUAAGAAGAUACACCUGUUAGCUUUCUUUGCUGUGAUAUAAACAAAUUUCAGAGGCCAAGAAUUCUAAUAUGAAUAUGGAAGUGAAAAUAAAACGCACCGUACAAUGUCGAUGGCAUCAGACAUUGUGUAUCUCUCGGAAUAAGAGUAUGAACCGUUCCACAGAUUUGGGUAUGAAGGUAUUUCAAUCGGAAAUGACUGCUCAUCCACGAUAUGCCAAUGGAGAACGUUCUGCAUGACGACAGAGUAAGAGUGCAUGGUAUCAUAAUGAAAACUAAUGUGGAGAAAACAUAAACACAAUGAUAUUUUGAAGUCUCGUGCAACUUAUUAGUCACACAAUUAGUAUUGAAUGGUCAUCAGACCUACCAGUUUACUGUAUGUCAUUGCAUCAAUCACUCCUUUAAUUAUCGCGAGAGGAAGAUAAUGCCUUGAGGUAUCUGCAAGCGUCCAAACACAAGUUAGUAUUGAUAAUCAGCAGUGCAAUAAUCAUGAGCAGGAUGGGCAUAUUAAUAAGAUUUAACAUAUAGAAGCCUAUGAGAGAAUUUUGGCAUAGAAUUGAGUUUUUUUAUGUGGCUGCUCAUUUUUUUUAAAAUCCUUCAAUAAAAAGAAGUAACUUCAAGGUUCUGCUUCUUUUUUUUGAACGAAAACAAGGUUCUGAUUCUAGUUAUUGGAAUACAAUAACUGCUUGUUGGGCGAAAGUUAGAUAAUAUCACACUGUAUCUCACCAAUAAGAAGGCCUCGGUAAGGAAAUCUGGGCGCAUCACUAAUCAUCCACGGAGCUGAGUUGAGUCCAAUAAGCCUUGAUGUGAACUCAAAGUGACACAGUUGGCUAAAUGUCUACAUUCAUAAAUAAUUUACUGUUGGAUCACCUCAAAGAAGAUUUAGUGUCCAGAAAAUCAUACUGGAGCAGUAAGUUACCUGUAAGGCGUGAAGUGCUCCAAAAACUGUUUGAGCCUACAAAAUAUUGCAAAGGUGGCAUCAAUUAUUUUUAUGAAUCGUAUCAUGCUAUUUGCGUCGGCUUGCAUCUUCCAUAAAUUUGAACACAUCACUCAUUUCAUAAGCUGAAGAACAUGCAGGGCAUUACCAAUACUAGCAAUUAUUUGUUGGUAACCAGGUUACAGCAAUAUGCAUGUCACAAGUGAUGCUGGAAUGCGGUGAAGCACAAAAGAGAAAACUACCUUGAUGCCUUGUGAUAUACUCCGUAGUAUGUAAUAACUUGCCUGUUCAAAUUCUAUUAAAGAAUUGUAUAUGUAGCAACUGGGUUUUAUCUUCAUCGAAAAAGCAACUGGGUUAUGUUUUGCAAAGUAAGCAUGUUUAAAAUACUGCUAGUAGCAUGAAACUCUAUGCCACAUCUGAAGUCUGUUGUUUGUGUAUAGAACAGUAACUGUAUGGUUUGUUUCUCUGUAGGCAGGAUACUCUGUCAGGCAAUUAUCACAAAGAGGACAGAGGAGUUGCAGUAACUAGAAGUAAAGCAACCAACGGCUCUCCUAUUGUAGGAACAGUCAGGUUGUAUGACUCGUCCACCUCAAAGCCGAGCUGCAGAGGGUGAACAGCAACAGAGUCAGGCAUUUGCAAUUUGUGAAGAAACUCACAGUUCAUCGGAUAAAAUGAGAGCAGGUUACCUCAUCUUGUGUCGAAAGAACGACUAUGUUAACACCGGUAAGCAGGGAGGAGCUUGGGUUUGCACCGUCGGCGUUGUGGUUCAGCUUCAUCAAAUCGAGCAUCCUCUGGAAGGCGUCCUUGAGGAUCGCCUUGCCGUCGGAGUACUUGCUUCCCGCCAUCGACAUGGUGGUGUUGUUGCUGACGUAGAGCCUCUGCGUCCCGUGGGACACCGUCUUGGGCAUCGGCCACAGGUCGAUAUGGUCGGCAGCUAUGCAGGAUCCAAUUGCCAGGAACACGAGGAGGAGCCGCAGAGCUAGCGCCAUCUUCGCGAAUGCAAGAACCCGCCGCAGUCUGCGGGGGGAAGAGAUGAUGGAAGUAUGGAACGGAAGGAACAAUGCGGCAACUACUGGAAGCGCGAGGCAAGUAGGAAUUGGAAAACCCUCCUCUAACUGAUCUUCAUUUUUGUGUCUCACUUUUGGAAGAGAAUGAUCGUGGGAGUUUGUGCUGGGCUCCUAUCUUGGGACGGAGACGAGUGAACGAGUGAGGAGGAGGUAGAGGAAGGAGGAGCGUGAGGCGAGGAGGGUAAAUGAAGAGCGGGUGAGAGUGGCGUGGAGGGCUGGGGGAGUGGUUAGAUGGAGGGAGGAAAUGGCAUGGGCAGGUCCGGCGCGCGUUGCAUUUGGUGACCCAAAACAGGUACGGACGGCCUGGCAAGUAGCACGGCUAAUUUUGGUACGGUUGGCCGGGCGAGGAGAGCUCACCUGCUCCCGUAUGUAUAUAUAGCCUGGAGGGUUCAGGUUUGUCAAAGCAGGCUUCCAAAUUUCAUUUCAAGUGCUCUGUAAUUUGUUGCCGCUGUCAUGUCAUGCUGAUUCUACAUAUAUUUUGCUGGCGUGCCGUGCUUAUGCUCAUCUUCACUAAAAUGUGGAACCGGGAAUGCCAAGGGAUCUUAUACUGAUUAUUUUUCGGUUUGGCUGUUCUGCAGGCUCCGUGGGUUUUUCGCCUGGAUUUGGCAAAUUGGGGGAGCACGCCGGAUGCGGUCAGUGUGAGAAGAGAGGGAAGGAGGGGCCGUUGGGGUAGGUCAGGCAUGCUGCUGCCAUUGGGCGUUCACGCUGUCUGUCACUCAUGGUCAUGGUGCCGCGCUUUCAGAUUCAGAGCGAGUCAUGGCUUGUUGGCCUUCCUCCGACCUCCGGUCCAGUCUGGUCUGGUAGCUGAAAGUUUUGGUCUGUUUCACUCAGCUGCUGGUGCGUAACGCGGCAGGUGUCUCGUUGAAGUCGAAGUGUGUGUGAUGGUGCACGAGGUUGCGCCAGGCCGUCCCAGGUUGCUCUUGCACAAAAUAAAGAGGCCGGUUGGCACACUUGUCUUGCACUCAGUUGCAGCCCAGUUUUGUUUUGCUGGGCCGGAUAUCGUCAAAGACGGUUUUUAACUUUUUAUAAAUAAAGGGUGAAUUUUAUUGGCUUAAAA